ensembl:lncRNA novel transcript
ACACAGCCCUCAGUCCUAAAGGCUGGUCUCACUCCCAUCCUGCCACGCAACAGCACAGGGUCUAUUUCGAGACAGCCAGUGACCAGGGCUGAGAACUUGCCCCAGACCACCAGCCUCCUCACUGAGAAAGCAAGCAGAAUCACAGUUUUUUGGAAUCUCAGGGAGCCUUCAGCGGCAAUCCAGUUCCUUCAAAGGGUCUGUGGAUUCUCUCAGUUUUCAUGAUUCCAGGAACAUGAAGAUAAUGGGAGAGGCAGCCAGUCGGGGGCAAAGAUGCCGUUAAACAGUCAGCCCUGGGCAUGGACGUGCCCCCUCCUACUGAAGUCCUAUAUUCACAUCUUUCUGGGCCUGGGGUGUCAGCUGUGACCCUCGAAGGAAAGGGAUCACCCUCUUUCUGACCCUAUACCACCUUCAGCAGGGAUGAAGGCAGUCAGAGAAAACUUAGUUAAAAAAUUUCUAAACUGCUUUGCUGAUUUGAUCUGGGGCCCUGGAGUGCCAACAUCCUGUGAUAGCGGCUGAUUGUUGAUGCCUGGGAGGAUACAGCAGUGACGAUCCAAAUUUACAAGACUCAACAUGGUUUUCAAAACUUCCUUUUAAAAAAGAUGUUCCUGAGUUCUGGAAUCUGAACAAAAUAUGUCUGGUUAUUAUAUAAUUCUAAUGGUCCUUGUGGAUGCUACCAUUAGAGUUCAGUUAGUGUCUCAUCUAUCACUGUAAUAUUUGUAUUGUAACACUAAUCGUGGCAAAGUAUGAUUUGAUAAAUGCUCAUUCUCAAA